rnacentral:lncRNA from 1 species
UUUUUUGUGCUAUAAAGUGCUAACUGAAUUCCAGUUCAUAUUUACAAUAUAUUUAUCACAUUUUUCUAUCCCAAACGACGGAAAAGGCAUCGGAAAGGUCUUAAAAUGUUAUUCAGAUCUCACAGGUAAGAAUAUUUUAUUUUGAUUAAUUAUUUAAGUACUUUAAUUGCGAAAGAAUGUGUGAUUGUUCUUGAGUCAUUUGCCUAAAAUUCCGUUGAAUGUUUGAAUUUACCGCGUUCAAUUUGCAUAAAAAACCUACGAAAUGUUGGUUUCUGGCAAUGAAAGAAAGAAUAAAAUAUCAAUUCGAAUCCAUUAUAGCAAAUUCUGUACUAAAUUACGCACUAAUGCACUAUUAUUAACAAUUUAAUAGCAAUAAAUAUUGCCUUUGGCUGUUCGACAUAUAAAUUAUAUGGCACUCAACUUGACCCUUGUAUAUAUUACUGUAAACAUUCGAAUGCCUUCAAAGAUAUGUUAGUAUUUUAAUAUAUGAAUAAGGAUUAGAAUUACAGAAGAAUUUAUAAAGCUUUGAAUGUAAUUUGAAUAUAAUAUUUUCAGUGUUUUGAUCUUAAUAACCCAUUAAGGCCAUUAUAAAGCUUGCAAAUGUGCCCAAAUGCAUCCCUGCUGUUGCUUUACUUUGCCUAGUGCCAGACAAUUUCACUCGUCAAGGGGCCAGACAGUCUUGCAAGCCCUUAAUGAACUUCAGUUUAUAAUGUGUAACAUGUUUGUGACACAAUGCCUGAAAUGUUUGCCUUAUGUAUUUUCAGAUUAAUAUUGGUGCUGGGCUAUCGCCUGGCUCCAAAUAUUGUUCUCAACAAUCAAGGAAUUCUGGAUUGAGUUCACAAACUGGUGUUGUAAGGUAAGAAUUAACAAGAAUAAAUAGUCUGCUUUUAGUGCUUUAUAUGAAGAAAAUGACAAACUGGCCCAGCUAAGGUAGUCACCCAGGAUCUGUUCAUAUGAGCCAUGCUGGCCCGUUAAACCGAGUUAGCUUGCUUGGCCGGGCCAAGUUGUUAUUUGUUUCACAUGAGGCGGGCUAGCCUGACAAGUGCUACCGUAUAAGAAAUUACCAAACAAUUUUAUAUAUGGUGGGAAAGCGAUAUUUGUUUUAAUUUUGAAAAUGGUAUUUUUAUUGAAGGAAACUGCUUCAGAAGUUUUAAUAUUGUUCAUUAAUGUUAUUUUUUUAAAUUCUUAUAUGCUUUCUACUGUAGAUAGAAUAAAGCAUGCGUUGUGACACAAUUGUCAAUUGCCAGUCUGGUUUGCCGGGCUGGCCGGGAAAGGCGAGAUCUUGCCUUGCUCAAACGGGAGCCCAUCAAAUUAACCAGGCCAGCCCGGUUCUCAUGUGAAUCAAAUCUCAAAAACAUAUAAAAACAAUAUACACGUACAAGACCAGAUCUCGGCACUUGCAAGUCGGUCCAGCCAGACGAAUCAGCCUUGAUCUUGUAAACAGCCCAUGUAAGGACCUUGUAUGUAGGAAUUAUUACAUUUCUUGAUACUGCAUCAAAAAUUUAGUAAAUAUUAACAACACAAUUACAUGUGAAUCCUAAAUCUACCCCCAAUGCAGCCCAUUGUAAGGCCUGUUGGCACUGUACUCAAUUUUGGUAUCCGUAACAUGUUUACCAUGCUUGGACUACCGUACUCCUAUUCACGCAGGCUGAGCAUGGAUAAAUUUGGUACAGGUACCAAGUUUAUCUGUGCCAUACUAGGCGUAAAAAAAUACCUGUGGUUCCGGUUCCCGAUCGACCCUAUUUUUUUCUGCCCACCCUAUUAUUUUUUCAAAGUAAUUGACUGUGUGACCCUAUUUUCUCCAGAUGGUUGUGGGCUGCUGCCAAAUGACAUCUGUUGUCACACUAAUUAUUGAAAAAUCCAUGAAAAAAUAUUUAAAAAAAAAGUAUUUCCAACCUACCAACCCUAAUUUUUUUGCGAUAUGAAACCGGAACCACAGGUAUUCUUUUACGCUCUACUAGAUUAAUCUUGCUAUCUCAAUGCCAAACAAUUGUACAUGCCCAGGGUCCUGAUGUAUUAACCCAAUUAGUGGCAGCACUCUUCCCCUGAGUCCCUGAUUAGUUAAAUCGUCUGGCAUUAGACAGAGUAAAUAAUAAAGUAGGGCGCAUCUUGGUGCAUUGGCACUUAAAGGGUUAAUGUAAUGUUACUGCACUACAUUGAUGCUAACUGUAUAAUGAAUUAAUAAAAGUUAUUUAAGAGAAGACAGUCAGUUGAGUAUCAUAUUUAGUCCACAAGAUAUAUUCCCCUUUAAACUGGAACUGUCGCAUGACAGAUCAUAAAUUAAUUGACAUAAUCUACUUGGCUAACUAAUAAUUAUUAGACAGUAGUGCACAAUGCAACUAAAUGGUUAAUUUGACACAUGGGCAGAUAGUCUGAUUAACCCAUUGAGCACGACUGCUCUCCCCUUGACAAGUAAAGUUAUCUGGUGUUAGACAGAGUAAAAUAAUAAAGUAUGAUGCAACAAAAUUUAGUGUCUGGUGAAACUAAGCUUGCUGAUUAAUAGUGAUUAUUGGUUAUUACUUUUUAAAAUAACAUGGGUCCAAGGUCUUUGCCAGAAGAAGUUGCGCCAGAUGGUGGUUUGCCUAAUACCAGAUGGUAGCGGGUGGUGCCCAGAUACCUAUUAUGGCACCAGAUAGUAGUCUACAGGGUUUUUUUUCAGGACUUUCUCUUGGGUCCAUUUUUGCAGAGAAGAUUGAGUUUAGCUGAACAGCUGGGGUGGCUGCACCCCCUCCCCCCUACCGCGGGAGGCUGACACCUAUGCUCAAUAAAUGUAGUUGAGAUGGAAUGUGUUAAAGCAGGGGCACUAAGGGACACUAUAAACUGGUUAAAGAUGGCGAAUGCAUAGUUUUUCUUGUGUUGCAAGAUGAAUUCCAGCCAUUUUUUCUUAAUUGUCGGGCUUCCAACUGAAAACUAAUUUCCACACGUCACAAAAUUUUAUAACUCAAACAACUUCAUUUUUACUGUACUGAAACUUUGGUGAGAAGAUUGAGUUUCAAAACUCAAUUCAAGAUUGAAUUUUUGGGCCCGUUUAACGGCCCUAAAAAAUCCCUGAAAAAACCCCUGGUCUACUGGGUACAGGUCUGGAGAAAGCCUGUCUCUGGUUAACAUAUGUAUAUUUGUCAUACCCUGCAUCACCUUGUACAUACAAAUGAAAUAUGAACUGGCUUUGUUAUUGGUUAAAUAAAGGCUGUUUAUUACAUCCACAGUUAGUAGUCCCUUUUACACUGUAGGUUAAUGAUAAGUCUCAAGGUCAUUGUUCUGGCAUAUUUUGUAUAAAGUAAUGAUUACAUUUUCAAUAAGUAAAAUUUUCCUUUUACAGAUUCUAAGAUGAUUGAUCUUUGAUGGCAAUUGCAUGCUGUGUUUGGAACAGUAUUAAUUAAAUGUACAUGAGGAAAUCAAUGGACUUGGUGAAUGAACAAUGGUAUAGAUAAUAUUGAUUGUGAAAUGGACAAAAUGUUAAACAAAAUAUGGCUUCAGGGGAAACCAGGGUUUUUUCAGGGAUUUUUUAGGGCCCUUUAAACGGCCCCAAAAACUCAAUCUUGAAUUGAGUUUUGAAACUCAAUCUUCUCAUCAAAGUUUCAGUGCAGUAAAAAUGAAGUUGUUUGAGUUAUAAAAUGUUGUGACGUGUGGAAAUUAGUUUUCAGUUGGAAGCCCGACAAGCCAUCUUUAACCAGUUUAUAGUGUCCCUGUUUUAACACAUUCCGUCUCAAUUACAUUUAUUGAGUACAGGUGUCAGCCCACCGGUAGGGGGGGGGGGAUGCAGCCACCCCAACUGUUCAGCUAAACUCAAUCUUCUCUGCAAAAACGGACCCAAGAGAAAAUCCUGGAAAAAACCCUGGGAGAAACUCAAUUCACUACAACACAUUGCUGUGCUAUCAGAACUACUAUAAUUUCAGUAAAUAUACAAGUUAUUUUCUUAGAAUGAGAAUUUUUUUCUUAAACUGAGAAUGUUAGGUGUAAA